UGGAACAUAGCUCAGUCGGUGAGAGCAGCUGGUUCAUAACCAGUGUUUGUCGAAGGUUCGAGUCCUUCUGUUCCGA
rnacentral:tRNA from 3 species